rnacentral:rRNA from 1 species
UACGUAGGGUGCGAGCGUUGUCCGGAAUUAUUGGGCGUAAAGGGCUCGUAGGCGGUUCAGUUAGUCGGGUGUGAAAUCUCCGGGCUCAACCCGGAGGGGCCACCCGAUACUGCUGUGACUCGAGUCCGGUAGGGGAGUGGGGAAUUCCUGGUGUAGCGGUGAAAUGCGCAGAUAUCAGGAGGAACACCGGUGGCGAAGGCGCCACUCUGGGCCGGUACUGACGCUGAGGAGCGAAAGCGUGGGUAGCAAACAGG